GCUUGCACCUGGUGGCGAGUGGCGAAGGGUGAGUAAUACAUCGGAACAUGUCCUGUAGUGGGGGAUAGUGGCGGAAGCCGGAUUAAUACCGCAUACGAUCUACGGAUGAAAGCGGGGGACCUUCGGGCCUCGCGCUAUAUGGAAGGUAGGUGCCUGGUUAGCUAGUUGGUGGGGUAAAGGCCUACCAAGGCGACGAUCAGUAGCUGGUCUGAGAGGACGACCAGCCACACUGGGACUGAGACACGGCCCAGACUCCUACGGGAGGCAGCAGUGGGGAAUUUUGGACAAUGGGCGAAAGCCUGAUCCAGCAAUGCCGCGUGUGUGAAGAAGGCCUUCGGGUUGUAAAGCACUUUUGUCCGGAAAGAAAUCCUUGGCCCCCAUACGGUCGGGGGAUGACGGUACCGUAUUUAUUUAGCACCGGCUAACUACGUGCCAGCAGCCGCGGUAAUACGUAGGGUGCAAGCUUUUAAUCGGAAUUACUGGGCGUAAAGCGUGCGCAGGCGGUUUGCUAAGACCGAUGUGAAAUCCCCGGGCUCAACCUGGGAACUGCAUUGGUGACUGGCAGGCUAGAGUAUGGCAGAGGGGGGUAGAAUUCCACGUGUAGCAGUGAAAUGCGUAGAGAUGUGGAGGGAAUACCGAUGGCGAAGGCAGCCCCCUGGGRCCAAUACUGACGCUCAUGCACGAAAAGCGUGGGGAGCAAACAGGAUUAAGAUACCCUGGUAGUCCCUCGCCCCCUAAACGAUGUCAACUUAGUUGGUUGGGGGGAUUUCAUUUUCCUUAGGUAACCCGUGACCUAAACCGCGAUG
rnacentral:rRNA from 1 species